UGGAGAGAAAAGGAGGGCAGUCUUCUUCUCUUCUUCUUCUUCGUUCGUGUUAUCUCUCCAAUAACAACAAAGCUGAGUCUUCUUCUUCCUCCAUUCUUCUCUUCUUCGAUCAAAUAGGAAUAUUGAGGGAGUCCAAUGGCAGAAGUGAGUCUUGGUAUGCUUAUAGACAUUGUGGACGAGAAGUGGAUGAGGGACACUCUCCCUGUUGAUGAUCUCCCAUUGCCUCUAGUGUUUGCUGUUAGGACUGAUGAUACUGAAGAAACCAGUAUGUUUUUUUUUUCCACUUUGUUUGUCUUGAUUUUACACUUGUCAAAAAACCUGAUAGCUAGCUAGCUUGAAUUCAUCAUGUUGAUGCAUAAUAUGUUAAACACUCCGAAUUGAGAUGUCAUAAGGAAACCAAUG